AAAAGAUGGUUCUGCUAUCACUCUUGGAUGGACCUGCGGUGCAUUAGCUAGUUGGUAAGGUAACGGCUUACCAAGGCAAUGAUGCAUAGCCGAGUUGAGAGACUGAUCGGCCACAUUGGGACUGAGACACGGCCCAAACUCCUACGGGAGGCAGCAGUAGGGAAUCUUCCACAAUGGACGCAAGUCUGAUGGAGCAACGCCGCGUGAGUGAAGAAGGGUUUCGGCUCGUAAAGCUCUGUUGGUAGUGAAGAAAGAUAGAGGUAGUAACUGGCCUUUAUUUGACGGUAAUUACCUAGAAAGUCACGGCUAACUACGUGCCAGCAGCCGCGGUAAUACGUAGGUGGCAAGCGUUGUCCGGAUUUAUUGGGCGUAAAGCGAGUGCAGGCGGUUCAAUAAGUCUGAUGUGAAAGCCUUCGGCUCAACCGGAGAAUUGCAUCAGAAACUGUUGAACUUGAGUGCAGAAGAGGAGAGUGGAACUCCAUGUGUAGCGGUGGAAUGCGUAGAUAUAUGGAAGAACACCAGUGGCGAAGGCGGCUCUCUGGUCUGCAACUGACGCUGAGGCUCGAAAGCGUGGGUAGCGAACAGGAUUAGAUACCCUGGUAGUCCAUGCCGUAAACGAUGAGUGCUAAGUGUUGGGAGGUUUCCGCCUCUCAGUGCUGC
rnacentral:rRNA from 1 species